UACGUAGGGUGCGAGCGUUGCCCGGAUUCAUUGGGUUUAAAGGGAGCGUAGGUGGCCUUAUAAGUCAGCGGUGAAAUCUCUGGGCUUAACCCAGAAAUUGCCAUUGAUACUGUAGGGCUUGAGUACAGUUGCUGUGGGCGGAAUAUGACAUGUAGUGGUGAAAUACAUAGAGAUGACAUAGAACACCAAUUGCGAAGGCAGCUUACUACACAAAUAUUGACGCUGAGGCACGAAAGCGUGGGGAUCAAACAGG
rnacentral:rRNA from 1 species